rnacentral:rRNA from 1 species
AACCUUUACACUGCACGACAGUGCGAUAGGGGGACACCGAGUGCGAGGGCAUAGAGCCCUCGCUUUUCUGAACCUUAAGGUGGUUCAGGAACAAGGGCUGGGCAAGACCGGUGCCAGCCGCCGCGGUAACACCGGCAGCCCAAGUGAUGGCCGAUUUUAUUGGGCCUAAAGCGUCCGUAGCUGGCCGCGCAAGUUCGUCGGGAAAUCCACGCGCUUAACGUGUGGGCGUCCGGCGAAAACUGUGCGGCUUGGGACCGGAAGAUCUGAGGGGUACGUCUGGGGUAGGAGUGAAAUCCCGUAAUCCUGGACGGACCACCGAUGGCGAAAGCACCUCAGAAGGACGGAUCCGACAGUGAGGGACGGAAGCUAGGGUCUCGAACCGGAUUAGAUACCCGGGUAGUCCUAGCCGUAAACGAUGCUCGCUAGGUGUGGCACAGGCUACGAGCCUGUGCUGUGCCGUAGGGAAGCCGUGAAGCGAGCCGCCUGGGAAGUACGUCUGCAAGGAUGAAACUUAA